CUCCUCCUCCUCCUCCUCCCUGCCCGGGUGAAACUCCAGCGCCCCACCCGCGCCUGACCUCCCCGAGCCCCGCCCCUUCCCGGUACGGGACCCCCACCUUCGCUCCCGGGAGCCACGCUGCACCCCGGAGUUCCAUUCCUGCUUCCCCGGUGCGAGUGCGGCCGAGCGCUGACUUUUGGGGGCUCCCUUCCCGGUCUCACUGGGUCCCUCUGCGGCUCCCCCGCCCGCUGUCCCGCCUCAGACGUGGCUGCACCCCGGAGCGGGGCGCCGGCCGAGACCUGAGACGUGGCGAUGCCGCUCUGCCGGCCUCGGCUCCAGUGCUUGAAUUUCAGCCACAUGCCUAAGCUGCCAUCUCAGACCAGAGGAACAGGGAGGGGGGCUUUCUGGAAAGAACAUCACCUGGAAGAAAUCAGGACAUGGCUGUGGGCCAUGAGUGACCUUCAAGGAAAGCCAGCUAUCUGUGGUAUUUAAGAUGUGAUCCAUGACAUUUAAGAACUGAAGAAACGAAAAGAUCAUCUGAUCAGUCCCAUCCGUCUUUUUCCUAGUGAUAAACAUUGGUACAAAGAUGUGAAGUUUGAUGUCUCACUAAGACUGCGUAGUGCUGCUUUAUUGCUCACCUACUUCAAAGUAUUGGGAAAACAUGAUUCCCAAUACAGUACAGGUGAGGCUGGGUUGCACCCAAACAGGUUUCUUUUGUCAGAUUCUUUUGAUGGAUCAGGAACCUACAAGUGGGGAGAUUUAAGGGAAAUCGCCCCUACACUUGCGUUUUCUUUACGUCUUUAGGGUUCUCUUACCCCAAGAAACAUACAUUCCUCUUUAGUGUAGCAGCCCAUUCUAUUGGCAAAGUUAAGCAGACUAGUUUUAUUUAAAGAGAGCCACCCAGAACCUUAGACAGAUAGAAAAUACUUGAGGUGCAGAUGAGAGUGAGCACAAAUGUGCAUAGCACGUGCAGUUUCCUGGCCCUUAAACUGAAGGGCCACAUCAGUCUGCUCCUCCAGACACAGCCUGGGACCCCAUAAUGUGCCCCGCUCUGCAGUCUGAGCUUCCACUCAAGUCCACCAGGGCCUGUCUCACACAACCCAUGUCUGGUCAGAGGGUUGCACUUUGCCACUGCCAUAUGUUCCCAG